rnacentral:rRNA from 1 species
UACAGGGGGUGCAAACGUUGUUCGGAUUCAUUGGGCGUAAAGGGUGCGUAGGUGGCGCUGUAAGUCGGGUGUGAAAUUUCGGAGCUUAACUCCGAAACUGCAUUCGAUACUGCGGUGCUUGAGGACUGGAGAGGAGACUGGAAUUCAUGGUGUAGCAGUGAAAUGCGUAGAGAUCAUGAGGAAGACCAGUGGCGAAGGCGGGUCUCUGGACAGUUCCUGACACUGAGGCACGAAGGCCAGGGGAGCAAACGGG